rnacentral:tRNA from 1 species
GGGAAUGUGGCUUAAUGGUAGAGUGCUUGCCUGGCAUGCAUGAGAUCCUGAAUAAAUAUGUGAAUAAAUAAAAAAAAGUACAAAACUUUAUUUCCA